rnacentral:tRNA from 1 species
UCGGCAUGGUCGACUUGUAGAUCUUGCCGUUGUCAUCGGCGAAGAACAGGUGCAUGUUCUGGUCGUCGGC